CUCUCACUAUGCCCCUUUGCCUUAUCACCGCCCAUCAUCAUAUACAUCACGCAAGAUUCCAUACAAAACAUCUAAUUACCAGGACUCUUCUAACCGCUAUUACAAUUCCCACAGUCCAGACACUCGAUCACAUUCUCCCAAAACUCAGCGAUCUAAUACUUUUUAUAAAAACCACUCUGAUACCCCUAUUACACAUACUAACAGAUACCAAUUAUUGUCCAUUGACUCCGAAAUAGAAAAUGAUGAUCAUUUUUUAGAGAUUCAGACACACCCCAGCACUUUCAUCAACACACCCUAUCCCACAAGAGCAAAAAAAAGAACUCUAAGCCCAGAGGAAAACGGAGUGGCAGAAGAGAACAAAAAAGAGAGACUAGAAAGAUAAAAAAUACCCUUAAAGAAUCAGAUGUUGGCAUUUUUAACUUAUCCAAUAAAG